GACGAACGCUGGCGGCGUGCCUAAUACAUGCAAGUAGAACGCAGUUGCGAACGGGUGAGUAACGCGUAGGUAACUGCCUCAUAGCGGGGGGUAACUAUUGGAAACGAUAGCUAAUACCGCAUACUGUGAGAUGGACCUGCGUUGUAUUAGGUAGUUGGUGAGGUAAAGGCCCACCAAGGCGACGAUACAUAGCCGACCUGGGAGGGUGAACGACCACAAUGGGAAUGGGAACCGGCCCAGACGCCUUCAGGAGGCAAGAAUUGGGAAACUUCGGAAAAGGGGGGAAGUCUGACCGAACAACGCCGGGUGGGUGGAAAAAGUUUUCGGGUCGUAAAACUCUGUUGUGAGAGAAGCGGUAACUAACCAGAAAGGGACGGCUAACUACGUGCCAGCAGCCGCGGUAAUUC
rnacentral:rRNA from 1 species